CUUUCUCUUCUCUUUCUUCGUCAGCUUCCUUUUCUUCUCUUUCUUCCUUUAUGGUGUCCCUUCCUUCUCUUCUUUCUCUCUCUCCCUUUGAAACCCUAUUCAUCUCCUCGAGCUUCACUAAAUUGAGCUUCUUCCUCCCUUCUUUCCCUUCCUUCGGAUAACUCUUGCCACCUCUGCCAUCGUUCGCCUGCUCUCUUUCUUGUUCUCUUUCCUUCGUUCUUGCCCUAUUCCCUUCUCUCUCUUUCUUUUGCAAACCCUCAUUCUGAUGGAGAUCUCAUUCUGAUUCUACUUCUUUUUAUUUCUCUGGAAUUUUAACGCAUCUUCUGUACUAUGAAUCAUGAAACGGUCUCUGGGGAUUAGGAUGGAAAUCUGUGGAGUUGCAGAGAGGCGCUGAGGAGGAACAAUCGAUUGUUGUGAUGAGAUCCAACAACAGAUCUCAUUGGAAGAACCUUUUUUAUUUUCUAUUCCAUCAGAUCCGGUUUCCUUGUGUCUGCGGAAUGGAGCUGUAUGGGCGAUCUAGCGAGGGUUCCCGAUCUGAUCAAUGGCCGGAGUGGAUCGAAAUUUGACUCAAAGGCUGUGUGACAAAUGGGAUUGGGUGCUGCAGAGGAAUUUUAUCCCCAAAGACCUAGUGAGGCUGAUUGUAUCUACUAUUUGAGGACUAGAUUCUGUGGCUAUGGUUCCCGCUGCUGUUUCAACCAUCCCCAUGACCGGGCCGAGGUAAAAUUUAUAAUUUGUUUGAUUUUUAAGUUUGUGGAGGGUUUUUUGUUGUGUUAUUUUUGUGCUUGAUGUGAUCAUCAGUUUUUCUUAGUGUAGAAAAUGAAGAACCUUUUCAUUUUCUAUUCCAUCAUAUCCGGUUUCAUUGUAUCCGCCCAAUGGAUCGGUACUGCCGAUUGAGCGAGGGUUCUUGGUCUGAUCCAGCGAGUGUUGAGGCUGUUGGUGCUGUUGCUAGGGCUAGAGGAUGGGAGUACCUGGAGCCAAUUGGUCAGCCUUUGUGCCAGGUGCUUAAUAUGGUUCUGGUUAUACUUUUGAUAUGUGUUGAUAUUUCCUUUGAUAAUUGAUUCAUGUGAUUCCUUGUUUUAUAUAUGAAAGGAUGUGUUAUGUGGUAAUCUAUAAUUCUAUUGUAUGUGUGUAGUUUUGAAUAAUCUUGAAUUUUUAUUUUGACUCAUAUUUGUAGUUUGAGAUUCUUUUUGUGUGUUGAUUACUAGGUUUACUUGAUCCAGAUUCCUAAAUAGGUAAAAUAUAUCAAUUCCAUUUGUUCCUUUAAAAUGAUGUGGUUAUCACUUACACUUCUAACCUGGUUGACAAAUUCUGGCCCGGGAUCUCAACCGGUGUCCCCCUGAUGUACGGAUUUUCUCUAUCCCUGCUUCUGAAUUUUUUAUCUUUUUUAUUUGGGAUUUUUAGUUGCAUUUUCUUUUCCCAGGGUUUGAGCUGCUUUAUUUUAUAAAAGUUAAAUUAUAUUAAGACUAAUAAUUGUCAGUUGUAUCCAGAUUCCAUUGAAUGGGUUUUGUUUCUGAUGGUAGUUGCUAAUUCAUUUAGUUCUAUUUUGUGUUUGAAUUCUAUACGUUGUCAACUUUUUAUUUUUCUAAUAAGUUGAUGUUGUGCUUUAUAAACUGAUAGAGUGAUAGAAUCAUAAAUUCUCUUUGCAAAACUCAUUAAAUUUUUUGUGGAAGGUUUUUCGUUAAGCACAAAGCUGUUGAGUGAUGUUUGUUGUUUUAUAAUGCUUCAGGUGUUUUUGUCUCUUUCAUUUGAUGAAGAUCUUGGGAUGUCUAAGAAGAAAGAUGAAAGAGAAGUACACAUAAAUUGAUCGCUAAGACAAAAGAGAAGGUAAUUUUUAUUUAUAAAUCACUUAUUAUAUAAUAUGUUUGUGUAUUUGUAUUACAGGGAGUCACCGUUGAUUCUUGGAUUGAUAGGGUGUGAAAUUUUUUUUUAAUUAUUUGUUUUUUAAAAUGGAAAAAAAACUGUUUUUCUUGAAAUACUAUUAGUUAUUAAAAAAUUUCAAUUUUGAGACACUUAGAU